rnacentral:lncRNA from 1 species
GAAAUUGAUACAGGAAAAAAGCGCUUUAGUGAGCGAAUCUAGAGAGAGAACGCAGCCUCGUGAUGAAUCGAUGUGCUGAUACAUAAUUAUGUAAAUAACGUAUCGAAUCCUUCUUUUUUUUUGUUUUUGUAAUUCUUAGAUGUUGGUUAUCGCUAGAUCCGUGUUUUUGUUUUGGAUAAAACGAUACGAUAAAACAAAACUAAUCAUUUGUUUCUGUUUUUAUUUUUUUAAUCCAAUUUGAUUCAAUUUUAUCAUCCAAAUUCUGGCAUUGUGUUUUUGUUUUGUUUGUUUGUUUGUUUGUUUGAAGUGCUUCUAGCGCAUGGGAGAUUAAGCGUACCAUAGCAAGGGGUCCACAAAUACGAAUCAGAUGAUGAGAGAGCGUGGGUUUCUCCUGCGGUUACUGUCGGAUCAGAGGGUGACCUCGAGAUUCGGUGCAGGUUGUCUUGGUACACGAAUCACGAUGAAUUCUCUGAUCUGACGGCUAAAAAGUAGUGGGAUAAAGUUAAGCACCGCAUUAGGGGAUUACUUCUAUGCCGCCACCCCCCGAAAUGUAUUAUUGCUUUUUGGCUUUGGCCUUUCAACCAAUCAAUUUUUUUUAUAAAACUUCAUAGACGGGCUUUGAGCAGUGUUAUUCGCUACGGCCCAUCAUAUCUCUCAGUUUGGGGUUGGAUGAGAUUUUAAAAAAAUAUAAUUUGUCUCAUCCACUUCAAAUUGGUGGAUGUGGUGCGGCUAUGUAGACGAGUUCAUGCUAGUAUACCACGGGCUCAAACCUGUCUAAUCUGAUCAGUACUCAUAACUUAAUAUUCGGUUCAUAAACAUACUAAUUGAGGACUCAUUUUAAUAUUUACUAGUUGAGAUCCGAUAAAAUAUUGUAUGGACCGACUCAAUUUAAUAAUUAAUAGCAUCUAGCAUGUUUUGAAUUUAAUCCUUAAAAGAAAUUAAUUUUUAAUUUUUAAGGCGAAUUUAAGACCUUAAAAAGAAAUAAAUUUUUCAAUUUUAAGUCUAGAUUACCCGUAAGUCAAUUUCACUCACUAGUAAGUGGCUUACAAUUAAAUACCAGAUGCAAUGGGCCCUAUCAAAGAAAGGAGAAUUUUCACUUUGGCAAUGUUACCUCUACCUAGACACGAGGGACAAUCCUUUGCAAUUGCAUUGCGUCGUGUUUACCAUUGCUUGUCGAUGUCAUGGUUCGUUUAAGGCCAUCGUCUAAUGGGUUGAGUGGAGAGUGUAAUUAUAUAUUCAAUCAUAUAAAUAAAUGGAUUUCUGCUAUUGGUUUAAGAAUGUUGUGCCCACGAUUCAUUAAAGAAUGUGUUGCCUCCAAUUCUAACCCCCAAUAUUUUAACAUAAUUGCACUUGUUGGGUUGAUUGUAAACGAUCUUGACGGAGCAAUCAGAAAAACAAUAUUAGUUUCGGGGCCAUGGUGAGGAAAUGGCAAUAUUUAAAGAGAGAAAGUGUAAAAAAUGCUCUUAUAUUUGUCGGGUUGUUUUUUAAUAGAGACGGCACCGACGGCGAAGCGGUCAGUAAAUGAGUGAGGGGCAGGGGCCGGCUUUGGUGGGGGUAGUGGGGCCCGGAGGGGGGGAGUUAUUCCCGUGUUGACGAGAUACGUGUCGGGAUUCUUAAUGUCGGCACGUGCAAAUUCCACCACACAUUUUUGUUUGAAAACCCCGUUUUGCCCAAACAUGUUUUCUCUGGUCUCCAUUUUGACUUUUGCGCCAAUACCCUACACCUCCACCACUAUCCCUCCACUACCAAUAUCACCACCACCACCCGUUCUCAUCAUUGGAACACCACCACUACUACCGAUGUAGCCACUAUCAAUACCACUCACCACCACCCCUGCCAUCCACUAAUACCCUCACUCCCCCUUCACUUCCUGCGCCAUUCCACUACGACCUAUCUACCACAAUACCACCACUACUACGAUCACCAUCUAUAUCCAACACCAUAGGUGGACCCAAAAGCUGUCCAGCAGGGGCUACAGUCCAACAUGACUUUUUAAAAAUUAUAAAAUUUAUUUUAAAUUUAUUUUUUUAUACUUUAACUCUCCUAAAUUAUAUUAUAAUUUUUUUUACACUUUAACCCUCUAAUCGAAAAUCAUGACUUCGCUCCUGUCCAGCACCACUCCUCUCCUACACCACCACCACCACCACCGCCCCUCCUACUCCAAUUCUACUACCACUCUACGACCCUCACCACUUCUAUACCUUAAUUUAGUUUUCAAUAAGUUUCUCAAAAAAUUAUUUCCGACUACCUAGAUUCUCAUUAAUAAAUAGAGAAAAAUGUGUUUUGUGAUUUGCAAUUGUGGCUUAGAUUACGACCCGUUUCUAAUAAAGUUAAUUAAUUUAGAUUUUUUUUUUUUUUUUUGCGUUAUGUUUUCCCAGUUCAUCUCUACAAUAGGACUCGGAAAAGGGCACAACUAUUUUGUUUUAAAAACAGGAAAACGAUUAGAGCCUAAAUUAAUGUAUGGAAACAUAAUAGUUAUUAUUUGAACUAUAGAAAACUU